CCACCUCACACUCUUUGGGUCCACGGGUUUCUCUAAUCGAGCUGUAACACUCGCCACUGCGGCCCACGGCUUCAUUCCUUGAAGCCCGUGAGACCACGAACCCUCUGAUGGAGAAAAGACCUUCCAUUGGGAGAAGACUUCUCGUCUUAUUUCCACCUAUAAUCUCUUCAAAACAUAGCAGUCAGAGUUAUCUGCUGAACUCACAAGUCACUCAUCUGCUCAAAGCCUCCAGGUGGCUUCUCAUCUCACAGAAUUCUGUUCAGGAACCAUGACACAAAAGAUGAAAAACUACUGAGAUGCAGACAUUCAAGCAAAUGUCACAUUCCUGAUCACAGACAAAGGGAGAUGAGGAGAGGGCUACUGUGUAUCAUCUCAAUAGAGCAAGCUUUCUUAUAACUAGAAGUGGAAAAUGG